GCUGCCAUAGCUCAGGGGAUAGAGCGGGAACCUCCUAAGUUCCGUCAGCCCAGGUUCGAUUCCUGGUGGCAGCG
rnacentral:tRNA from 1 species